rnacentral:ribozyme from 13 species
UUUUUUUUCAAUUCACAAGUUUUAUGCGUUUAUCUUUUGUCAUCUCUCUUUUUCGUUUUUUUGUCACAAAAGGUAAAGAAGGAGAUAAACUAUUUGGAGAGGGGCAAAGGAGGGAGGGGCAAAGAGUCAAAGGAGAAAGAGGGGGUGCUUAGUUUUUCUUUUCUUCUGGCUUUUUCUUUGUUAUGUAGCGACCGAGGAAGAAUUUGGCAAACAAGGCGAAGAAAGAGAGAUAAAG